UACGUAGGCAGCAAGCGUUGUUCGGAAUUACUGGGCGUAAAGAGUGUGUAGGCGGUGCUCUAAGUUCGGUGUGAAAUCUCCCGGCUCAACUGGGAGGGUGCGCCGGAAACUGGGGUGCUGGAGCGCGGGAGAGGAAAGCGGAAUUCCUGGUGUAGCGGUGAAAUGACGUAGAUAUCAGGAGGAACACCGGCGGUGUAGACGGCUUUCUGGACCGUAGCUGACGCUGAGACACGAAAGACGUGGGUAGCAAACAGG
rnacentral:rRNA from 1 species